rnacentral:rRNA from 1 species
UACGUAGGGGGGCGAGCGUUGUCCGGAUUCAUUGGGCGUAAAGAGCGCGUAGGCGGCCCGGAAAGUGGGGUGUGAAAACCCGAGGCUCAACCUCGGGCCUGCAGUCGAUACGGGCAGACUAGAGUACUGCAGGGGAGACUGGAAUUCCUGGUGUAGCGGUGGAAUGCGCAGAUAUCAGGAGGAACACCGGUGGCGAAGGCGGGUCUCUGGGCAGUAACUGACGCUGAGGAGCGAAAGCGUGGGGAGCGAACAGG